GGCGGACGGGUGAGUAACGCGUGGGUAACCUGCCUCACCCAGGGGGAUAACAACCAGAAAUGGUUGCUAAUACCGCAUAAGCGCACAGGACCGCAUGGUCCGGUGUGAAAAACUCCGGUGGUAUAGGAUGGACCCGCGUUGGAUUAGCCAGUUGGCAGGGUAACGGCCUACCAAAGCGACGAUCCAUAGCCGGCCUGAGAGGGUGAACGGCCACAUUGGGACUGAGACACGGCCCAGACUCCUACGGGAGGCAGCAGUGGGGAAUAUUGCACAAUGGGGGAAACCCUGAUGCAGCGACGCCGCGUGAAGGAAGAAGUAUCUCGGUAUGUAAACUUCUAUCAGCAGGGAAGAUAGUGACGGUACCUAACAAGAAAGCACCGGCUAACUACGUGCCAGCAGCCGCGGUAAAACGUAGGGUGCAAGCGUUGUCCGGAAUUACUGGGUGUAAAGGGAGCGCAGGCGGACCGGCAAGUUGGAAGUGAAAACUAUGGGCUCAACCCAUAAAUUGCUUUCAAAACUGCUGGCCUUGAGUAGUGCAGAGGUAGGUGGAAUUCCCGGUGUAGCGGUGGAAUGCGUAGAUAUCGGGAGGAACACCAGUGGCGAAGGCGACCUACUGGGCACCAACUGACGCUGAGGCUCGAAAGCAUGGGUAGCAAACAGGAUUAGAUACCCUGGUAGUCC
rnacentral:rRNA from 1 species